CCGCGCGCGCCGGGCCGGCCUAUCCCGGCGGGCGCAGACCUCGCGUUGCCAUGGCGACGCGUGGAGGCCGCGAGGGCUUUGUCCCCGCCUGCGGAGCGCCGCUUGCUGCGCCCGGGCCUCCCUCUGCCCGCCGCUGACGGCGUGCGGGCGCGUCCCUCGUUUGCUGUUCAUGUAGUGCAAGAAAUGUGCUGUCACUGAGCGAGGCAGAGCAAGAGGCGGAAGCCAAAACUACCGCCGUAUACUUAACAGGAGAGCAGGAAGACAACAUGGUAAAAAAGGACCCAAGACAGUACAACCAUACCAAGUACCAUGGAGAGAAGGCUACAGGAAAGGGUAGUUGAAAUUUUUUGGAAAGCUCCAUGCUUAAUUGGUUCCUGAUCCAAGAAAGAUUUGGGCUCUGCUUAAGUUCUGGAUAAAACAGAAAGAGGUGGAGAGCUGACA